GCCAAAAUUUCGGUGCAUCCUUACUUUACAUUUAGAUAUUAGUAUUGUAUCAGACUUUUAUUUAUUUAUUUUUGUAUUGUAUCGAACUAUAUUUGGGACACAGAAAAAUCAGAACAGUAAUGUCUGCAGCUAAGUGUUAAUAUACAGUAUAUAGUUGGUAUUUUCACAUUUGUUUCACAUUUUUCUUUUUCACUACAGCAAACACAAGAUAUCAAUGUUGACCGGAUAGCAGUUCUCCGGUGUCUACCACUGCUGCUGCAAGAUGAUGACACAGAGCUGUUCUACACAUGCAAGGAGGGUGCGGACCAAGACUCUACCAUUAAGAGACCUGCUGCCAUAGUGUCCAUCAUUGCUGACAGUGAGGAUGUAACCAUGGUGCCAUUCCAUCCUCGUGAAGUCAAGGUCUUCCUCCAGGAUCAGGUUGUCUUGCAGGGAACUAAGUGUUGGCCUGAUGCACUCCUGUAUUUGUAUGGCUUGCUGUAUUUCCUCCAGGCUGAGUACCCAAAAGGCAUGACAUAUACUUUUGAGUUUAUUCAGAAAGUCAUACUGAAUGUGGACGGGGAAAAAUUAAAACCAAAGACACUGUCCUUAAAAAAUAAACUCUAAACUAGCUGGGGGGAAAAAAAUUUGUUUGCAGACAUGUUAAAGUCAUGAACAUGUUGAGCUGUUCUAACCCUGAGUGUGGCCUUUACAUCCUUUCCCGGGUGUCAUGUUUACAGAAAUGUUUUUUUGACUUGUAGGAUAGUUAACAAGCACUGUAUUUGAAAGGAGAAUUGGACAGUUAAAGAAAAGAUUCCAUGUUUUGUAUGGAGAGGUGCCCCACAGCCAGAUGGGUUUUUGCUGUGCAAGAUGGGACAAUGUUGUAGGCAUUGUACAACAAUGUGAUGGGAUAGCAAUGAUAGGACAAUUUCACACAGCUGAGCGAAAGAUCUAUUUUAAUUUGCAUACACUUUUUUUUUUUUUUUUUUUAAUUGAUUGUGGCACUAACAUCCUUUUGUUGUGGCGUCAUGUUUAAAGAAAUAUGGUUUCUCAA